AUUGAACGCUGGCGGAAUGCUUUACACAUGCAAGUCGAACGGCAGCACGGACUUCGGUCUGGUGGCGAGUGGCGAACGGGUGAGUAACAUAUCGGAACGUAUCCAAUAAUGGGGGAUAACGAGUCGAAAGAUUCGCUAAUACCGCAUACGCCCUACGGGGGAAAGCUGGGGACCUUCGGGCCUGGCGUUAAUGGAGCGGCCGAUAUCUGAUUAGCUAGUUGGGGAGGUAAAGGCUCACCAAGGCGACGAUCAGUAGUUGGUCUGAGAGGACGACCAGCCACACUGGAACUGAGACACGGUCCAGACUCCUACGGGAGGCAGCAGUGGGGAAUUUUGGACAAUGGGCGCAAGCCUGAUCCAGCCAUUCCGCGUGAGUGAAGAAGGCCUUCGGGUUGUAAAGCUCUUUCGCAAGGGAAGAAAACUUAGCCACUAACAUUGGUUGAGGUUGACGGUACCUUGAUAAGAAGCACCGGCUAACUACGUGCCAACCGCCGCCGUAA
rnacentral:rRNA from 1 species